rnacentral:rRNA from 1 species
UCGCGAUGAAGCCGGGGCUUGCUCUGGUGGAUUAGUGGCGAACGGGUGAGUAACACGUGAGCAACCUGCCCUGGACUCUGGGAUAAGCGCUGGAAACGGCGUCUAAUACUGGAUACGAGACGUGGCCGCAUGGUCAACGUUUGGAAAGAUUUUUCGGUCUGGGAUGGGCUCGCGGCCUAUCAGCUUGUUGGUGAGGUAAUGGCUCACCAAGGCGUCGACGGGUAGCCGGCCUGAGAGGGUGACCGGCCACACUGGGACUGAGACACGGCCCAGACUCCUACGGGAGGCAGCAGUGGGGAAUAUUGCACAAUGGGCGCAAGCCUGAUGCAGCAACGCCGCGUGAGGGAUGACGGCCUUCGGGUUGUAAACCUCUUUUAGCAGGGAAGAAGCGAAAGUGACGGUACCUGCAGAAAAAGCGCCGGCUAACUACGUGCCAGCAGCCGCGGUAAUACGUAGGGCGCAAGCGUUAUCCGGAAUUAUUGGGCGUAAAGAGCUCGUAGGCGGUUUGUCGCGUCUGCUGUGAAAUCCCGAGGCUCAACCUCGGGCCUGCAGUGGGUACGGGCAGACUAGAGUGCGGUAGGGGAGAUUGGAAUUCCUGGUGUAGCGGUGGAAUGCGCAGAUAUCAGGAGGAACACCGAUGGCGAAGGCAGAUCUCUGGGCCGUAACUGACGCUGAGGAGCGAAAGGGUGGGGAGCAAACAGGCUUAGAUACCCUGGUAGUCCACCCCGUAAACGUUGGGAACUAGUUGUGGGGCCUUUCCACGGAUUCCGUGACGCAGCUACGCAUUAAGUUCCCCGCCUGGGGAGUACGCCGCAAGGCUAAAACUCAAAGGAAUUUGACGGGGA